AGCAUGAGAUGAUUUGUAUAAUAAUAUUAUAUCAUUAUUAUGUGCAUAUUUUAAGUAAUUACUUACCAUAUGCUAAGUAUGCAUUUGCAUCAUGCAAUAAAAGUAUUUAUGAUUUAAUUGGUUUUAUUUAUAAAUCCAAUUAUUUAAGAAAAUUGAGUAAGAAUAUUGUUGGUGUUCUUAACUCAAGAGAAAUAUUUUCAAGUAUUUAUUUAUUAAAUUUUGAAAACCCGGCUAAGUGAAUCAUAGAAUGUUAAGCACUACACCAUGACUUAAGAUUAGAUACAAGGAGACCUAUUGAGAAUAGAUUUCUUGUAGGCUUCGAGCAUCAGAAGGAUUAGCACUACUAUUCCGAUUCAGAGAUAAGGUUAAACGACAGGCUUUGCCUAUACAGGUUGAGCAAUUGAUGGAAUGGAAUGAUGUUGAGCGGGUGUUCCUUUGACAUUUCAAGAAAUAUAACCUUGAGUAUACAUCUUCAUAUGUAUAUCUCACACGUUUUUCCGCUGCAAAACACUUUGAUUAGGAUAACUCUAUGGUAUGAAGUUGUUACACGUGUUAUUGGGUAACCCACCUUAAUCAGUUCUCUUUUAUGUGUAUGUUUUAUAAGUAUCCAAAUGAUCAUAUAUGAUCCUAGCUUUUUAUCUAUAAGUGAUAUUUUCAUAUACUUUAAUGUUAAGUAAUUGUCCAUUUCCA